rnacentral:rRNA from 1 species
GAUGAACGCUGGCGGCGUGCCUAAUACAUGCAAGUCGUGCGAACAGACGCGGCGCUUGCUCCCCUGACGUUAGCGGCGGCCGGGUGCGUAACACGUGGAUAACCUACCUAUGAGACUAGGAUAACUUCGGGAAACCGGAGCUAAUACCGGAUAACAUAUUGCACCGCCUGGUUCAAUAGUUCAGGAGGGUUUUGCUGUCCCUUAUACCUGCAUCCGCGCCGCAUUGGCUGGUGGGUAAGGUAACGGCUUACCAAGGCGACGAUGCGUAGCCGACCGGAGCGGGGGGUCGGCCACACUGCAGGUGAGAGACGGUCCAGACGCCUACGGAAGGCAGCAAUAGGGAACCGUCCGCGAUGGGCGAAAGACUGAACGAGGAACGCCGCGGGAGUGAAGAAGGCCUUCGGGUCGUAAAACUCUGUUAUUGGGGAAGAACAAUUGUGUCAGUGACUAUGCACGUUGUGACGGUACCUACACAAAAAGCCACGGCUAACUACGUG